UGUUUAACCAAGGGGUGCUCUAGCUGAGAUCCAUACUAUUGGAAACCCUUACUACCUGAUCCGGAUAAUACCGGCGUAGGAAUGGUCAUCAAGAACUUC
rnacentral:ncRNA from 2 species